rnacentral:misc_RNA from 1 species
AGCAGCCGCGGUAAUUCCAGCUCCAAUAGCGUAUAUUAAAGUUGCUGCAGUUAAAAAGCUCGUAGUUGAAUUUCGGGACUAAUAUGUCGGUCGUGCCUCGGUACGUACUGGCUUAUUGGUUUCUCCUUUCUGAAGAACCAUGAUGUCAUUUAUUUGGUGUCGUGGGGAAUCAGGACUGUUACUUUGAAAAAAUUUAGAGUGUUUAAAGCAGGCUCACGCUUGAAUACAUUAGCAUGGAAUAAUGAAAUAGGACGUUUGAUUCUAUUUUGUUGGUUUCUAGGAUCGACGUAAUGAUUAAUAGGGAUAGUUGGGGGCAUUAGUAUUCAAUUGUCAGAGGUGAAAUUCUUGGAUUUAUUGAAGACUAACUACUGCGAAAGCAUUUGCCAAGGAUGUUUUCAUUAAUCAAGAACGAAAGUUAGGGGAUCGAAGACGAUCAGAUACCGUCGUAGUCUUAACCAUAAACUAUGCCGACUAGGGAUCGGAUGAUGUUAAUUUUUUUAAUGACUCAUUCGGCGCCUUA